UGGGAUGUGGCUCAGUGGUAGAGAGCUUAGCUGGCACGUAUGAAGAACACUGGGUUCCAUUCCCAGCACCACAU
rnacentral:tRNA from 1 species